ACGAGCUCAAAUUUUAAAUCUGGGGUCCCCGACCCCCGAGUUGUAAUUUGGAGAGGCAUCUUCGGGAGGAGCGCCAGCCCAUGUUCCUUGGAACAGGACGUCGCAGAGGGUGAGAAUCCCGUGCCAGGCCGGCUGCCUCCCCCCAUGUGAAGUGCCUUCGACGAGUCGAGUUGUUUGGGAAUGCAGCUCCAAGUGGGUGGUAAAUUUCAUCUAAAGCUAAAUACCGGCGAGAGACCGAUAGCGCACAAGUAGAGUGAUCGAAAGAUGAAAAGCACUUUGGAAAUAGAGUCAAAAAGUACGUGAAAUUGUUGAAAGGGAAGCGCUUGAGACCAGACUCAGAUUGAGGCAAACAUCUAGCCCCGCGGGGCGGUGCACUUGCCUCGAGCUGGGCCAGCAUCAGUUGGCGUGGCGGGACAAAGGCGCGGGGAAUGUGGCACCCCCCGGGGUGGAACUUAUUAGGCCCGCGCUCAAGGCCGCCUACGCCG
rnacentral:rRNA from 1 species